AGCGGCGGACGGGUGAGUAAUGCCUGGGAAAUUGCCCUGAUGUGGGGGAUAACCAUUGGAAACGAUGGCUAAUACCGCAUGAUGCCUACGGGCCAAAGAGGGGGACCUUCGGGCCUCUCGCGUCAGGAUAUGCCUAGGUGGGAUUAGCUAGUUGGUGAGGUAAGGGCUCACCAAGGCGACGAUCUCUAGCUGGUCUGAGAGGAUGAUCAGCCACACUGGAACUGAGACACGGUCCAGACUCCUACGGGAGGCAGCAGUGGGGAAUAUUGCACAAUGGGCGCAAGCCUGAUGCAGCCAUGCCGCGUGUAUGAAGAAGGCCUUCGGGUUGUAAAGUACUUUCAGCAGUGAGGAAGGUGGGUAUGUUAAUAGCAUAUUCAUUUGACGUUAGCUGCAGAAGAAGCACCGGCUAACUCCGUGCCAGCAGCCGCGGUAAUACGGAGGGUGCGAGCGUUAAUCGGAAUUACUGGGCGUAAAGCGCAUGCAGGUGGUUUGUUAAGUCAGAUGUGAAAGCCCGGGGCUCAACCUCGGAAUUGCAUUUGAAACUGGCAAA
rnacentral:rRNA from 1 species